GAUGAACGCUAGCGGCAGGCCUAACACAUGCAAGUCGAGGGGUAGAACACUUCGGUGUUUGAGACCGGCGCACGGGUGCGUAACGCGUAUGCAAUCUACCUUGUACAGGGGAAUAGCCCAGAGAAAUUUGGAUUAAUGCCCCAUAGUAUAUAACCUUCGCAUGUUGGUUAUAUUAAAGUUCCAACGGUACAAGAUGAGCAUGCGUCCCAUUAGUUAGUUGGUAAGGUAACGGCUUACCAAGACGAUGAUGGGUAGGGGUCCUGAGAGGGAGAUCCCCCACACUGGUACUGAGACACGGACCAGACUCCUACGGGAGGCAGCAGUGAGGAAUAUUGGUCAAUGGGCGCAAGCCUGAACCAGCCAUGCCGCGUGCAGGGAGACGGUCCUAUGGAUUGUAAACCGCUUUUAUACAGGAAGAAACCCUCCCACGUGUGGGAGAUUGACGGUACUGUAGGAAUAAGGAUCGGCUAACUCCGUGCCAGCCGCCGCAGUAAAAC
rnacentral:rRNA from 1 species